GACGAACGCUGGCGGCGUGCUUAACACAUGCAAGUCGAACGGAAAGGCCCUGCUUUUGUGGGGUGCUCGAGUGGCGAACGGGUGAGUAACACGUGAGUAACCUGCCCUUGACUUUGGGAUAACUUCAGGAAACUGGGGCUAAUACCGGAUAGGAGCUCCUGCUGCAUGGCGGGGGUUGGAAAGUUUCGGCGGUUGGGGAUGGACUCGCGGCUUAUCAGCUUGUUGGUGGGGUAGUGGCUUACCAAGGCUUUGACGGGUAGCCGGCCUGAGAGGGUGACAGGCCACAUUGGGACUGAGAUACGGCCCAGACUCCUACGGGAGGCAGCAGUGGGGAAUAUUGCACAAUGGGCGGAAGCCUGAUGCAGCAACGCCGCGUGCGGGAUGACGGCCUUCGGGUUGUAAACCGCUUCCGCCUGUGACGAAGCGUGAGUGACGGUAAUGGGUAAAGAAGCACCGGCUAACUACGUG
rnacentral:rRNA from 1 species